rnacentral:rRNA from 1 species
AUUGAACGCUGGCGGCAUGCUUUACACAUGCAAGUCGAACGGCAGCGCGGGCUUCGGCCUGGCGGCGAGUGGCGAACGGGUGUGUAAUGCAUCGGAACGUGCCCAGUAGUGGGGGAUAGCCCGGCGAAAGCCGGAUUAAUACCGCAUACGACCUGAGGGUGAAAGCGGGGGACCGAAAGGCCUCGCGCUAUGGGAGCGGCCGAUGUCGGAUUAGCUAGUUGGUGGGGUAAGGGCUUACCAAGGCGACGAUCCGUAGCUGGUCUGAGAGGGCGGCCAGCCACACUGGGACUGAGACACGGCCCAGACUCCUACGGGAGGCAGCAGUGGGGAAUUUUGGACAAUGGGGGCAACCCUGAUCCAGCCAUGCCGCGUGCGGGAAGAAGGCCUUCGGGUUGUAAACCGCUUUUGUUCGGGACGAAAUCCUCUGGGCUAAUACCCCGGGGGGAUGACGGUACCGGAAGAAUAAGCACCGGCUAACUACGUG